rnacentral:rRNA from 1 species
ACGGCUCAGUAACACGUGGAUAACCUACCCAAGAGUCCGGGAUAACCCCGGGAAACUGGGGAUAAUACCGGAUAGGUCAAACUUGCUGGAAGGCUGUUUGGUUGAAACCUCCGGGGCUUUUGGAUGGGUCUGCGGCUGAUUAGGUUGUUACCGGUGUAACGUACCGUCAAGCCUGUAAUCAGUACGGGUUGUGGGAGCAAGAGCCCGGAGAUGGAUUCUGAGACACGAAUCCAGGCCCUACGGGGCGCAGCAGGCGCGAAAACUCUACAAUGCAGGCAACUGCGAUAGGGGAACAUCGAGUGGCGUCCAUAUUGGAUGUCUGUCCUCCCGCCUAAAAAGCGGGAGUUAGCAAGGGCCGGGCAAGACCGGUGCCAGCCGCCGCGGUAAUACCGGCGGCUCGAGUGGUGGCCGAUAUUAUUGAGUCUAAAGGGUCCGUAGCCGGCUUUGCAAGUCUCUCGGGAAAUCCAGCGGCUUAACCGUUGGUCGUCCGGGGGGUACUACAUUGCUUGGGACUGGGAGAGGUAGGAGGUACUCAGGGGGUAGGAGUGAAAUCCUGUAAUCCUUUGGGGACCACCGGUGGCGAAGGCGUCCUACCAGAACAGGUCCGACGGUGAGGGACGAAAGCUAGGGGCACGAACCGGAUUAGAUACCCGGGUAGUCCUAGCCGUAAACGAUGCUCGCUAGGUGUCACAACAGUCGUGAACUGUUGUGGUGCCGUAGGGAAGCCGUGAAGCGAGCCACUUGGGAAGUACGACCGCAAGGUUGAAACUUAAAGGAAUUGGCGGGGGAGCAC